rnacentral:rRNA from 1 species
GUGCGAAUUGCGGACACAUUGAGCACUAAAAUUUCGAACGCACAUUGCGCCAUCGGGUUCAUUCCCCUUGGCACGUCUGGCUGAGGGUCGAAAUCUAAAAUAUACUCUUUGUGUAACAUUGUGUAUAUGUAUUGCAUCGGCCGGCUCAUAUAACAAUACCUAUAGCUGUAGCGAGUAUUACUAGCUAUAGAUGGCUAGUUUGUUAUAGGAGACGCGGUCUGCUAGUAGUAGUGUGUAAUACAUGUAAACGUGUUCAUGUAUGUAAAAGAGUGAUGUCGAUAGACUAUUGUUUUUAGGCGAUAUAAAUGGGCGAGAUUAUUUAUAUCGCUUAAACAACAACAAUACUCUAUUCAGUGUUUGAAAGAGCGACUUAGUCGCAAACAGAAGUUCAAUUGAACAGGUUAGCACAAGCAACAACCACUGCCAUGGUAAAUUGCUUGAAAGCGAAUCUCUAGCAUACAAAGAAGAUAUGCAAGAGUUAGCAAGCGCUUUCGUGCCAGUAAAGCUUUUUACUUUGGCCGCAAGUUAGUGUGGUGUGUUUAUUGUUGCAGCAAGUCGUGUGUGCUAAGCCUAAUGUUCAAUAACAAUGACCUCAGCUCAGUCGUGAUUACCCGCUGAAUUUAAGCAUAUAACUAAGCGGAGGAAAAGAAACUAACGAGGAUUCCCUUAGUAACGGCGAGUGAACAGGGAAAAGCCCAUCGCUGAAUCCCAUAAUCACUGAUUAUCGGGAACUGUAGCGUAUAGGUGUAACUAUUCGGUGGUUUUUGCUUACCCAAAGUUCCCUUGAGUGGGGCUAUAGUCCAUAGAGGGUGCUAGGCCUGUACGGGUAGCAAAAUUACUGAUAUUGGUUGCUCCUUGGAGUCGAGUUGCCUGGGAACGCAGCUCAAAGUAGGUGGUAAACCUCAUCUAAGGCUAAAUAUU